CAGUCGCCGCGGGAAUACGGAGGGUGCAAGCGUUAAUCGGAAUUACUGGGCGUAAAGCGCACGCAGGCGGUCUGACAAGUCAGAUGUGAAAUCCCCGGGCUUAACCUGGGAACUGCAUUUGAAACUGUCAGGCUGGAGUCUUGUAGAGAGGGGUAGAAUUCCAGGUGUAGCGGUGAAAUGCGUAGAGAUCUGGAGGAAUACCGGUGGCGAAGGCGGCCCCCUGGACAAAGACUGACGCUCAGGUGCGAAAGCGUGGGGAGCAAACAGGAUUAGAUACCCGCGUAGUCCCUGUCUCUUAUAC
rnacentral:rRNA from 1 species